rnacentral:snRNA from 1 species
GGUUCUGAGGACUCUCUGACCACAGUGUCAGUCACCCCAUUCAUUGAUGGCCAGGGUUGAUGUGACUGACCUGACUGUCUAGGGGGUGUUUCUUUGCUCCUUCAACACUGUAUUGUGUUCUUCCCCAAAAUGCAUGCUAGAUUGAAGGGGACAGUUUUCCCCUGUAUUAGAAGCCCUUCGUUGGUCAAGUGGUUGCCAAUAACUGUGGCUCCCACUGCAGAUGAUAUAAACAAGCUCUCCAGGUACCACUGCUGUUGCUGUCUUGUAUCAUGUUCAUACUAGCAUAGAGUUGAAUACCUUGAUU